AGAGUUUGAUCCUGGCUCAGAAUCAACGCUGGCGGCGCGCUUAACACAUGCAAGUCGCACGAGAAAGGGAGCAAUCCUGAGUAAAGUGGCGUACGGGUGAGUAACACGUGGAUCAUCUACCUCUUGAUGGGGAAUACCCCCGGGAAACUGGGGACAAUACCGCAUAAGCUCGUGAGAGGAAAGCCGAAAGGCGUCGAGAG
rnacentral:rRNA from 1 species